rnacentral:rRNA from 1 species
ACACUGUUCAUGGGUUACCGCGGCUGCUGGCACGGAGUUAGCCGGUGCUUCUUCUGUGAGUGAUGUCCUUCCUGCCGGCUAUUAACCCGCAGGCCUUCUUCCUCACUGAAAGUGCUUUACAACCCGAAGGCCUUCUUCACACACGCGGCAUGGCUGGAUCAGGGUUGCCCCCAUUGUCCAAUAUUCCCCACUGCUGCCUCCCGUAGGAGUCUGGGCCGUGUCUCAGUCCCAGUGUGGCUGAUCAUCCUCUCAGACCAGCUACGGAUCGUCGCCUUGGUGAGCCGUUACCUCACCAACCAGCUAAUCCGACAUAGGCUCAUCCGAUAGCGCGAGGCCCGAAGGUCCCCCGCUUUCCCCCGUAGGGCGUAUGCGGUAUUAGCCUGGGUUUCCCCAGGUUAUCCCCACCUACCGGGCAGAUUCCUAUGCAUUACUCACCCGUCCG